rnacentral:rRNA from 1 species
GAUGAACGCUGGCGGCGUGCCUAACACAUGCAAGUCGAGCGAACCCUUCGGGGUGAGCGGCGGACGGGUGAGUAACGCGUGGGUAACCUGCCCUAUACACACGGAUAACGUACCGAAAGGUACGCUAAUACGGGAUAAAGUUGUUGGAUGGCAUCUUCUAACAAUCAAAGCUCCGGAGGUAUAGGAUGGACCCGCGUCUGAUUAGCUAGUUGGUGAGGUAAUGGCUCACCAAGGCGACGAUCAGUAGCCGACCUGAGAGGUGGAUCGGCCAAACUGGAACUGAGAAACGGUCCAGACUCCGACGGGAGGCAGCAGUGGGGGAUAUUGCACAAUGGGCGAAAGCCUGAUGCAGCAACGCCGCGUGAGCGAUGAAGGUCUUCGGAUCGUAAAGCUCUGUCCUCAAGGAAGAUAAUGACGGUACUUGAGGAGGAAGCCCCGGCUAACUACGUGCCAGCCGCCGCCGUAA